GUCACCGGACCCAAGUGCAGACGAGAGGCCCACGGAAGAGGAAUCACCCUCCAAGCCACCCGACAGCAAAACAAGGACCAAGAGCUCGUCAUGGACAGUCCUCUCACACAAGACCAGAAGAACCAAGAAAAACAAGAGGGAACUGUGGGGAAUAAGUUUAAGAAUUCUCUAGGCUUACACCAAUGGGUUAACAAGGCUUAGAGCAGAAAGCCGCUUCUGCUUCCACAGUAACAGGUAGGGGAGGAAAGCUGCCACAGGUAGAAAGUGCCCAAGGCUAGUCGUUAAGUAAAAAAAAAAAAGAAAAAAGGAUAGAGCUGAAAGUGGCUGCAGGGUGAAAAAGCCCAAGGCUAGCUAGCAAGAAAAAUGCCUCCUUAACCUUAAGGUGGCAUGCCCCACUUACCUUAAUCCCUAGAAAAGUUAAGAUAAAAUAAACAGAUAUGGUGCCUGCUUUAAGUAAAGUGCCUGAAGUAAAAGCACUGAGAUGCUAUGCAGAUUUGUCUUGACCCUAACCCCUAACACUGCCUACCUUCGAAACCCCUUUUCUCACACACAUGGAUUAAUGAUUACUGUUUUAUUGUUUCUACAUGUCCAUCAUGUAUGCAGGCCUUCUGAUUCUAAUAAAUACAGAGA